GAUGAACGCUGGCGGCGUGCCUAAUACAUGCGAGUCGAGCGAACGGACGAGAAGCUUGCUUCUCUGAUGGUAGCGGCGGACGGGUGAGUAACACGUGGAUAACCUACCUAUAAGACUGGGAUAACUUCGGGAAACCGGAGCUAAUACCGGAUAAUAUUUUGAACCGCAUGGUUCAAAAGUGAAAGACGGUCUUGCUGUCACUUAUAGAUGGAUCCGCGCUGCAUUAGCUAGUUGGUAAGGUAACGGCUUGCCAAGGCAACGAUGCAUAGCCGACCUGAGAGGGUGAUCGGCCACACUGGAACUGAGACACGGUCCAGACUCCUACGGGAGGCAGCAGUAGGGAAUCUUCCGCAAUAGGCGAAAGCCUGACGGAGCAACGCCGCGUGAGUGAUGAAGGUCUUCGGAUCGUAAAACUCUGUUAUUAGGGAAGAACAUAUGUGUAAGUAACUGUGCACAUCUUGACGGUACCUAAUCAGAAAGCCACGGCUAACUACGUG
rnacentral:rRNA from 1 species